rnacentral:misc_RNA from 1 species
AAAAAGCAUUAAUCAUGAUGUUAAUCAUGGUUGUAAAAUCAGGAUUCAAAUCAUAACUGAAAAUCCAAAUUUUGUGUUUUGAUAACUGAAUCUAACUAGUGGAUUCUCAAAAUCAAUUAGAAAUACACAUAUACAACUAACAGUCUUAUACGUUGGAAGCUAAAUGUUUCAAUAAAUUUUGAAUGAUGUGGAUAGUUGAUAUGGAUCCUUGUCCUAAUAUUGUCUUAUCUUCCGAAACAUUUAUUAUAUGUAUUCUGUCUUGAGCUGGUCUGCAG